GGACUUGCAGGUGGAAUGAAAUGAAGUGCUGUUUCCAGCAAGUACUAACCUCCCAGAACUCAUUAUCCAGGAGGGAGCUGAGUGUGGGCGUGACAGGCAGGUCAGGAAAAGGUUCAGGUCCGUUCACGGCUGGCCAGUCGCCGGGUGGGGCGUCCCCUGACCCUGUGGACUUGCCACCAGGAAGGGCGUUCAGCAUUUUGCAGGGACGAAGGGAGGGGGACUCUGUACCUCCGGGCCUUGGGUUCUGGCCCAGGCAGCAAUGCACAUGCCCGGGGUUUGGCCCGGCUUUCUCAGCUCUGAAAGGACGCAAAGACCCCCAGGAGAAACGCAUUGAAUCCCGUGCGAGGCCCAGAUGGGAGUGCUGAGUCUGGCACAGUGAGCAGCCGAGGACAGAGCCUCGCUCUGCACCCACCACACCAGCACAAAGGACCUGCUUUGGGUGAGCAUAUAAAGAUGCUAAUUACCUGAACACUGUGCUGCCCCCCCUGGUCAACGGCGUGAGUUUUGAUUCCGGAAACUCGAGCAAAAUGUUGGAAAGGGAUUUCUCUUCAGCCCACCAUGCAUUGAAUAACCCCUCGCCAAGAACACUGGGAAUUUCAUGGUCUCCCAAGCACUUGAUUUCUUGGCGUGGAGUUGUAUAGACAUCACCAGCAUCCAGCUGAACGAUGGGACGUUUGCUACAGCGGGCGUCAGGAUGGUGCAGUGGUUAAGAGCCCACAGUCUGGAGCCAGUCAGAGGUGGUUCAAAUCCUGGUUCUUCCCUUUUUACGUGCUGUGUAACCUGGGGCCCUCUCUGGGCUUCAGCUCCUCACCAGCAACAGUGGGGGAAUGAUACUACCCCUUAAUGCAUCAUCAUGAGGAUGCAACGAAAGCGUGUACAGAGAGCUUAGCCUGGUGCCCAGCACGGAGUACCACUCACUACAUGGACAGUAAUAUGAUUUUUAUACUGUGUUUUAGGGAUCUCUUUCUUCCAUAACCUCACUUUAUCCUCAAGACAUCCUUCUCAGAGAGAACGGAGAGAGUUUUUUAUUCCUACUGCCCAUCUGAGGGGACGUUAACUAGCAAGUGGCAGUGGCAGACUGAGCUCACGCGGGCAUAGUGACUUCCCAGCCAGUGCCCUGUCUCCUAUAGUCACU